UCCAUUGAGAUGGAUAAGAUGCGUAACUUAGCAUCCUAGGUGACUUGUUUGCCAACAAUAAUACCAGUCUCCAUUACAACCCGCUUUGAGAACUUGUGUACAUAAGUUACUCCCUGAUCACAAACACUAAUAUGUUCCUUGUACCUUACAACCCCGCCAGCAUAAGGCAGAGCCAAAUCUUACUGUAUGAGCUAGUGGACCAUGGUUAAAAACCAGCGGUGUGCCACCUUCAAAGAAUUUCUCUUAAAGCUAGCAGACACUGACCUGAAGGGGCAAGUGGAUCAGCUUUUAAGCCACUGAGAGUCCAGUCAAAGGCGACUAUGGGUUUGCAGCGCUCUUCUCAUUUUCAAGCCAAGGGAGCCGGUGUUUGUCCACAGACAGCUUUCUGGGUCAUGUGGCCAGCAUGACCAAACCGCUUCUGGUGCAACGGAACACUGUGACGGAAACCAGAGCGCACAGAAACGCUGUUUACCUUCCUGCCAUAGUAGUGCCUAUUUAUCUACUUGCACUGGCAUGCUUUCGAAUUGCUAGUUUGGCAGGAGCUAGGACAGAGCAACAGGAGCUCACUCCGUUGUGGGGAUUCGAACUGCCAACCUUCUGAUCUGCAAGCCCAAGAGACUCAGUGGUUUAGACCACAGCACCACCCGGUAGCAACUAUAUCACAGUGACCCUGCCUUUCUGGGUACUUGCUACAGCUAGCUAUUGAUAAGGUUUUAGGACUCUAGUUGCUAUGCCAUGCACCACGGGAUCUUUCAAGAUUAUGUUAAUCUGGGGGCUAUGUAGUCAGUCUAUGUCUAUGCCUGAAUCUGUCAAGAGUUGUGAUUCUGUAAGCGGCAUGUUGUUUUCAUAAGAGUCAUGCAGGCAAUGGAGUCCUGCUUUAGAAAUAUCUACUAUUGUUUAUUUAUCUUGAGCCUGGAAUUAUAUAAGGAAGUAGGAUUAAAAGUGAGGGUGUCCCACACCUCUGAAGUCCAACAUGUGAAAAGGUUGAAUAAAACCUUUCCAUAUUGUCCUAAUCUGGGGCAAGAAGUUACAGAAUGACCCAAUUCAAUAGUACAGUGUCCUACUUGAGUGAGUUUAGGAUCCGAGGUUAGGUCUUGGAUAGAAAGCAUGUACAACUCAUUUUAUUGUUCAGUCCAAGUGGUUUUGUUGGAUUGCAGAUUUGUGCUGGAAUUAAAUGCUCCAUGCUUUACUAUUUUAUUUUUGCUUUUCCCCAUUCUGUAUUAGCAACAGUUAUAGCAUUGGGUAUCUUCCUAAAUAAAGAUUAUUGCUCAGCUGUAGCUUACAUUAAUCUUUAUCCUAUUUUUUUUAUUUGUAUUUGAACCAAACGCAGCAAGAGUGAAGGAGGAAAGUGUGUGUUUGCUGGAGGAGGAAGUAAUUCUUUAAAUAUAUAUACUGUCUCGGGACAUUCAUAUAGUCAUCUGUAGUUUACACUGCACAGGAAUUUGGCUCUAGUCCAUAUGUUGAAAGACCUUGCAGAUUUGAACAGUAGAGAUCUGUUGUUUUUUAAGCAGCAAGUGUGAAACAGGAAAUGGCCUAUAUUAACUGGUUUACCAUGAAGAAAGAUGCUGGUUAGUUGUUAUUUUCUGUGAUAGCUGAAGAGAUGCCAGUUAUUAUGAAGCUAGCUGCUUCGUUUUAGUAGAUCCUCACAUUUGUAGAUGCAAUUAUAAUAAAUCUGGAGUCUUGCCAGUCAUACCUCUCAACUGUUUUUCAUUACGGCAAAUAUCACACAGGGGGGAAAACACACACGCUUGCUUUCCUAGUGUUAGGAUACAUGCAAGAUUGAAAAAGAUAAGGUUGGACGUCGCAAGGUUAUUGAAGGAAGGAGUAGCUUUAAAAUAAUGAAAACAAGCAUGAAGUUCCACACAUGGAAGAAGAGUUGAUGGGUAUGCUGCCUCAAAUAAUGAGGGGAGCCGAAACAAAAGAAUGCUCAGGUGGUGAUGAAUUAAGUGAAGAAAGACACAAUUUUGAAUGUAGGCUUUCUGCCAAUGUAUACGGAACUUUACUUUGACUUUCACAGAGGUCUGAAAAGUUAGUUCGCUGCAUUUCAUCAGUCCUUCUUAGAUAAAGUUCUUCAGAUAGUACUGUUUUGUUAGGCAAUGCAGUUGUAUGUAGUGCAUACACUAAAAUCAUAACAUGUCCAGAGAGAAGGGGAAAGAGAGAGGUAUGCUGUGCAUAUAUGUCAGGGAGCUACCAGUAGAUCAGAGAUUUCUUCCACCUGUCCAGCAAUAUGUAAAUUAACAACACAAUUCUAUACAUGCCUACUCAGAAGCGAGUCUAAUUGAGUUCAAUGGGACUUGCUUCCUGAUGAGUAGGGUGUAGGAUUGCAGAUGCAAAUGGACAAUCUGUUAUCUUUCUCAAAGUUUAAGGAUAUUUUCUGUUCAGAACAUAGUAGUCAGGCCUGUAAUCCUCCCUAGCCAGCUGCUGGAUCGCUGACCAGAUCCAUGGCCAAGCCUCAAUGCUGGCUGGCCAUUUAAGGUAAGCUGACCUACUGAAGCAGCUGCAAUUCUUGCGUAAUUUGUUUGUACAUUAAGGUUACCAGACAUCCCCGUUUCCCGGGGACAGUCCCUGGAUUUACAAAUCAGUCCCCUGACAAAAUCCAUCUAUUUAGUAGGAAGUUGAAAAAUGUCCCUGGAUUCAUUGGAAAAAAAUCUGGUAACCUUAUUGUACAUGCACAUUCUGAUAUGAACCUAUGAUUCCUGCUGAUGCACAUUGGAGCAGGAAAUCCUAAUUUCAUAUAUAUGGAGCAGUGGCUAGCUCACUGAAGAUGUUGAGCCAGUGUGCAGCUGCUGUUGUAUGCUAGGAAACUUGGGAAAGAGAUUAAGAACAAAACUGCCAAUACUAUAAUGCCAUUAUGCAUAUCUGCGGUUAGAUCACACAUGGAGUACAGAGUACUGUUCUGGCCUCCUCAUCUCGAAAAGGAUAUUAUAGAGCUGGGAAACAUUCAGAAAAGGGAAACCACAGUUAUCAUGGGAUGGGAACAACUUAUCAGUAGAGGUUGCAACAUUUGAAGCUUUUUAGUUUUAGGGGGGGAAAGGCGAGUGAGGAGGGAGCAAGAGACAGGUGUAUAAAGUUAUUUGUGGUGCGGAGAAAGAAGAUAGAAAUAAGUUUUUCUCCCUUUCAGGGAGGAAUUAUAGGAACUGGUCAAUGAAGCUAAAAUGUGGACAGACAGCACAUAGCCAAACUGCAGAAUUCGUUUUCACAAGAUUGCAUAUGUAAAAACCAUUUCAAAGCCAAUAUUCAGAAUGGGAGAAAAUCCUCUCCUUAAAAGACUUCUUGAAAAAAGAUCUUCAGUAGUCUCUGAAAAAAGCAAUUGAAAUGGCACCUGCCAUUAUGUUACACUUUUGAUCAUGGUUAAUGACUGUUGAUUUUAUCAUCCUUUGCAUAGUGUGAAGGCAAGCUUUUGUGACAAUUGAGAAUAGUUACAAAACUCUUUUGUGUGGCACUUUUUUUGUUCUUGUGUCUCUGGCACCUCCAGGCUUCAUUGUCAUCUUCUUUUUUUAAAAAAGUACUAGAUAGCAGGUAGUGUGAACUGGUGGUUGUU
rnacentral:lncRNA from 1 species